UUCAAGUCUUUAAGAGCAAACGGUGGAUGCCUUGGCAUCUGGAGCCGAAGAAGGACGUAGCAAUCUGCGAUAAGCCUCGGGGAACUGAUAAGCGAGUUUUGAUCCGAGGGUGUCCGAAUGGGGAAACCCCGCCAGGCGUUUGUGCGACCUGGUGACUCCCGCCUGAAUAUAUAGGGCGGGUAGAGGGAACGCGGGGAAGUGAAACAUCUCAGUACCCGCAGGAAGAGAAAACAACAUGUGAUUCCGUGAGUAGUGGCGAGCGAAAGCGGAUGAGGCUAAACCGGGUGUGUGUGAUAGCCGGCAGGCGUUGCAUGCCCGGGGUUGUGGGACCCUCCGUGCUGUUCUGCCGAACAGUGGACGUGAUGCGCGAGUGUAGACGAACGGUCUUGAAAGGCCGGCCAUAGUGGGUGCCAGCCCCGUAGUCGAAAUGCUUGGUGCAGCGUGGAGGGGAUCCCAAGUAGCACGGGGCCCGUGAAAUCCCGUGUGAAUCUGUCAGGACCACCUGAUAAGCCUAAAUACUCCCAGAUGACCGAUAGCGGACAAGUACCGUGAGGGAAAGGUGAAAAGUACCCCGGGAGGGGAGUGAAAUAGUACCUGAAACCGUUUGCUUACAAACCGUUGGAGCCUCCUUAGUAGGGGUGACAGCGUGCCUUUUGAAGAAUGAGCCUGCGAGUUAGUGAUAUGUGGCGAGGUUAACCCGUGUGGGGUAGCCGUAGCGAAAGCGAGUCUGAAUAGGGCGAUUCAGUCGCAUGUCCUAGACCCGAAGCGAAGUGAUCUAUCCAUGGCCAGGCUGAAGCGACGGUAAGACGUCGUGGAGGGCCGAACCCACUUAGGUUGAAAACUGAGGGGAUGAGCUGUGGAUAGGGGUGAAAGGCCAAUCAAACUUCGUGAUAGCUGGUUCUCUCCGAAAUGCAUUUAGGUGCAGCGUUGCGUGUUUCUUGCCGGAGGUAGAGCUACUGGAUGGCCGAUGGGCCCGACCAGGUUACUGACGUCAGCCAAACUCCGAAUGCCGGUAAGUGAGAGCGCAGCAGUGAGACUGUGGGGGAUAAGCUUCAUAGUCGAGAGGGAAACAACCCAGACCACCAUCUAAGGUCCCUAAGCGCGUGCUAAGUGGAAAAGGAUGUGGAGUUGCUUAGACAACCAGGAGGUUGGCUUAGAAGCAGCCACCCUUGAAAGAGUGCGUAAUAGCUCACUGGUCAAGUGAUUCCGCGCCGACAAUGUAACGGGGCUCAAGCACGCCACCGAAGUUGUGGCAUUGACAUUUUUGGUAGGCCUUCGUGGUCCAGCCGUGUUGAUGGGUAGGAGAGCGUCGUGUGGCGGGUGAAGCGGCGGAGUGAUCCAGCCGUGGAUGCCACACGAGUGAGAAUGCAGGCAUGAGUAGCGAAAGACGUGUGAGAAACACGUCCUCCGGAAGACCAAGGGUUCCAGGGUCAAGCUAAUCUUCCCUGGGUAAGUCGGGACCUAAGGCGAGGCCGACAGGCGUAGUCGAUGGACAACGGGUUGAUAUUCCCGUACCGGCGAAGAACCGCCCACACGAAGUCAGGAGUGCUAACCGUCCGAAGUCACCCACCGGACCCUUCGGGGUUCAUCGGGUGAUGGAGCACGGGACCCCAUCUGGUGGAGUGAGCGUAUUAACAGGUGUGACGCAGGAAGGUAGCCCAUGCCAGGCGAUGGUUGUCCUGGUGCAAGUGCGUAGGCCGAGAGAUAGGCAAAUCCGUCUCUCAUGCAGGCUGAGACACGAUGCGGAUGAAAAGUGGGUGAUCCUAUGCUGCCGAGAAAAGCAUCGACGCGAGGUUCCAGCCGCCCGUACCCCAAACCGACUCAGGUGGUCAGGUAGAGAAUACCAAGGAGAUCGAGAGAAUCGUGGUUAAGGAACUCGGCAAANCGACUCAGGUGGUCAGGUAGAGAAUACCAAGGAGAUCGAGAGAAUCGUGGUUAAGGAACUCGGCAAAAUGCCCCCGUAACUUCGGGAGAAGGGGGGCCAUCCACUUAUACGGACUUGCUCCGGAAAGGGUGUGGUGGCCGCAGAGACUAGUGGGUAGCGACUGUUUACUAAAAACACAGGUCCGUGCGAAGACGCAAGUCGAUGUAUACGGACUGACGCCUGCCCGGUGCUGGAAGGUUAAGAGGACCGGUUAGCCCUUUUGGGCGAAGCUGAGAAUUUAAGCCCCAGUAAACGGCGGUGGUAACUAUAACCAUCCUAAGGUAGCGAAAUUCCUUGUCGGGUAAGUUCCGACCUGCACGAAUGGCGUAACGACUUCCCAACUGUCUCAACCGCGAACUCGGCGAAAUUGCAUUACGAGUAAAGAUGCUCGUUACGCGCAGCAGGACGGAAAGACCCCGUGACCUUUACUACAGCUUGGUAUUGGUGUUCGGUGUGGCUUGUGUAGGAUAGGUGGGAGACUGUGAAACCAUGACGCCAGUUAUGGUGGAGUCAUUGUUGAAAUACCACUCUGGUCACUCUGGAUAUCUAACUUCGAACCGUGAUCCGGUUCAGGGACAGUGCCUGGUGGGUAGUUUAACUGGGGCGGUUGCCUCCCAAAAAGUAACGGAGGCGCCCAAAGGUUCCCUCAACCUGGUUGGCAAUCAGGUGGCGAGUGUAAGUGCACAAGGGAGCUUGACUGUGAGACUGACAGGUCGAGCAGGGACGAAAGUCGGGACUAGUGAUCCGGCAGUGGCUUGUGGAAGCGCUGUCGCUCAACGGAUAAAAGGUACCUCGGGGAUAACAGGCUGAUCUUGCCCAAGAGUCCAUAUCGACGGCAUGGUUUGGCACCUCGAUGUCGGCUCGUCGCAUCCUGGGGCUGGAGUAGGUCCCAAGGGUUGGGCUGUUCGCCCAUUAAAGCGGUACGCGAGCUGGGUUUAGAACGUCGUGAGACAGUUCGGUCCCUAUCCGCUGCGCGCGUAGGAAGUUUGAGAGGAUCUGACCCUAGUACGAGAGGACCGGGUUGGACGAACCUCUGGUGUGCCAGUUGUUCCGCCAGGAGCACCGCUGGUUAGCUACGUUCGGGAUGGAUAACCGCUGAAAGCAUCUAAGCGGGAAGCCGGCCUCAAGAUGAGACUUCCAUACCUUCGGGUGAGAGGCUCCCAGCCAGACUACUGGGUUGAUAGGCCAGAUGUGGAAGCACGGCAACGUGUGCAGCUGACUGGUACUAAUAAGCCGACGACUUGAUAACA
rnacentral:rRNA from 2 species